rnacentral:lncRNA from 1 species
GCAGUGAAGUUAAAGAAAAAGCUUUCUUGGAGUAUAAUUUAGAGAAUUUUUCUUGGGCUCAAAGUUUUGGAGCCUCUUUGGAUCGAGGGAAUCGAAAAAUGUAGAAAAAGAAAAACAAAGUGUAAAAUGUCACUAAUAUACAAUGAAUUCCCAUAGGAUUUGUACAAAGUGUAAAGUGUAAAAUGUAUUUUGAUGGUCAUAAGAAAUGAAACGCAUGAUUUUUUAUAUGAAAAAUAGGAGAGACGUAGAGGGAAAUAAAGAAAAGGUGCAUUGGACUUCUUGAAGAAAAAAAAGAUUUUAAGUUCAUAUUAGAUUUCCUAUACUUAUGACGGAAUG